AUUUGCUCUACAGCCCCCUAAGGAAGGAACUUGUUGAUUUUGGCAGUGUUUACCUUUGCUACAAACAAAUACAUCGUUUUCCAGCCCGGCUGGCUCUUAAAAAUCACUUGAGAGCUGAGGAAAAAAAAAUCUGCCCCAGGCUGCAUUGGUAUUCUUUUUCCUGUGUUCUAGGGAAAGCUUUUGUGUUCUGCACAGCUGCUUGAGGAUAAUCCGCUGCGUCAAGAUUAUUCACAGAGUCAAUAGAAAUGCCUGUAAAAUUCUUUAACUUGGUUGGAUGCCAUGUCUGCUUCCUUUCAUUUCAAAGUAGGAAAAGUCAGAAUGAGAACACUAGUUCUUCACUUCAGUUCUGCUGUCAUGAGGAUCGAGUACCUGUAGAGCUCUAUCAUAGGGCUACAGGUAACACUCUUGUAUAAACUGGAGCAAAAAUGUUUGCCACAGUCCAGACCCUGAAAUAAAAUGGACAUUUAGCAAAAGAUGACCAUUUUCAAGGUUACAUCCGGAGUGGGAAGAAAACACCACAGAUUUUGCAUCUUUGUGGCGUAUCUUGAAGAUGUUCCAGCAAAGUCAUCAGUUUGGACUGUGCCCAACAGAUUUGUACAAGGGGAAAGAAUAAGAGGAAAGAAAAUGAACUCCUUAUUCUAUCCCACUCCACCAAAAUGCAAUCACAUCCAUGGAUUUUGUCAGAGG
rnacentral:lncRNA from 1 species